GCUACGCACUGGUCCGCCCGCCCCCCUGCCGGGUCUUCUGGAGCUGAGGACUCGGGGAACCAUGGAAUUGAGGCGAGCCUUGGGCUGCUUUAGAGGCGCUGACAUCCAAGGAGACUUCUCCUGGGAGUGAAUGAACAAUGUUUGGGAGAAGCAGAAGAGCAGGGCAUAGAGUAGCCAGGCGGGGCCAGGCGCUGGGAGGGGUCCAGCUCUGAGGCCUCCCCACACCUAUCUUCUUGGAAGGAACUGGAUGUCGCUGAAGGAAAGUUGAAAAAUGAAAAAGAAUAACCUUUUCCCUUUCCCCAUCCAGGAAAUAGCCGAAGGAGGCCCAACAGCCAAGCUGAGCCCACCCGGCUCAAGAGAACACCCGACGGAGGGGGGUGGCUAAGGCUGCCCUGGAAGGCCAAGUGCGAGUUGCAGUUUUUGAAGAGUGCAAGACGGGCAUGGCUGUGACAUUGGCCCCAGAGACUGGUUUCCCAUGAGUUGUUCUUUCUCAGGAGCUCCACAGUGUGAGGCCAUCUCCAGAAAACAGUCUUCAGUGUGUAUUUCCUUUUAUCGUCAACCCGGAGCCCCACGGCAGCUAAUGCAAGAGGCCAAAAAUGUUUUGGAGGAAGAAAAACAAAGGCAGGAAGUGGCGGCGGCUUGACGGUGCGUGCGUGUCUGCGGAGAAGGGAGGGAGCCAUUUCAAUCUCUUCUUGUUUUUCCAAACUUCAGGGUUCAGGCAGCCCUCGCAGGGCCGGCCCGUUGCUCCCCGCGCAGCAUUUGGAGAUGGCCACCCGGAGAGGAGAAGGCUGGCGCCGGAGCCAGCCUUGUCAGGCGGAAACGGCUAACGAGGCGAUUUGCUCAGCAAAGCAGACCAAGCCUUUCCAAACUUCAUUUGAUUUGGCCCUAAAAGUGGGGGGUUGGGGGAUUCUGCAACACCUCCCGUACCCUCCUUGGCGGGCGGGCUGAGUGCUCCGUGGCGGGGAUUCGGGAGCCGUGCACUCCACGCGCCUUCCCAGGCGGGAUAUGGGAAUAAAGUGUGUCCAGAUGCCUCUGCCCAGCA